CGCAACCCUCCUCGAAGGACGCACAAGGGGCGGGGCUUAAGGCCAACGGAAAACAGAGCGAGAGGCGCCUGCGCAUUACCGAAGAGGCAAGAACCAUCCGAGUAAGUCUCAGUGAGAAGCUGUAGUCCAUCUGGCUUACCCCAACGUAACAGGGCAGUCUACCCAUAAACCAGGCCUAGAUUUUUCCCUCCUUUGUGAGGUGGUUGAAGGAAUUUCUGUAUGGCCAGAGGCAUGAGCUAAGAAAAAGGAAUCAGUGCACCAGAGCAGAAAAGGAAGACUAGAGAAAUGCUAGAGAUGUCCUUACUAGUGACACAUUCUUGCUGAAGAACAAGUUCUCUGGAAGUGAAACUC